CUGUUAUUCUUAACUGUGAUUUCUCGCAGUUAAGGAACCUAGGUCGUGUAUCCCUCCACCACUGCUAUUUCUGUUACUUCCGCGAUUUCUGUGACUCCUGCGAUUUUUGCGCCUUACCACCGUAUGAAAAAGCUACAUCUGUCCACACAAAAAAUUGCAUCUCAACAAACCUGUCAUUGGUACCCGACCUACAUUUCAGUCACCCAGUAAAGUAAUAACUCAAAAUAUCAUUGUCAGCAGAUCUGGAGAAAUUGCCACUGCGCCUUUAGAUCGUUUUCGUCAGACGAGAGACACAGUUCUGGUUGCUGUACGUAUCUAUCCACAUCAAGGCUGUUGGGAGAGACUCGUGAAGAUUCAAGAGAG